UACGAAGGGGGCUAGCGUUGCUCGGAAUUACUGGGCGUAAAGGGCGCGUAGGCGGAUAUUUAAGUUAGAGGUGAAAGCCCAGGGCUCAACCCUGGAAUAGCCUUUAAUACUGGAUAUCUUGAGUUCGGGAGAGGUGAGUGGAACUCCGAGUGUAGAGGUGAAAUUCGUAGAUAUUCGGAAGAACACCAGUGGCGAAGGCGGCUCACUGGCCCAUUACCGAC
rnacentral:rRNA from 1 species